ACCACUUCUCAGCUCACUGGCUAAGAUCAAGCAUAACAUCUGUUAUCAGUUUAACAUCUGAUACAUCCUCUAUCCAAAAUUAAGAUAAGGGAUAUUCAACCAGUACUAGCCAAGCUAAAACCUGGAAGCAAACACAAGCUUCCAGGUUUACAGGAA
ensembl:snRNA U2 U2 spliceosomal RNA